GGGUAUGUAUCUCAGUGUUAGAGUACUUGCCUGGCAUGUAAUAGGCUCCGGUUCAGUACCAGAACUUGUUCU
rnacentral:tRNA from 1 species